AACGAACGCUGGCGGCAGGCCUAACACAUGCAAGUCGAGCGCCCCGCAAGGGGAGCGGCGCACGGGUGAGUAACGCGUGGGAAUAUGCCCUGGGGCUGGGGAUAACGGCGGGAAACUGCCGCUAAUACCCGGUACGCCAUGAGUGGGAAAGGAGCAAUCCGCCCUGGGAGUAGCCCGCGUUGGAUUAGCUAGUUGGUGUGGUAAGAGCGCACCAAGGCGACGAUCCAUAGCUGGUCUGAGAGGAUGAUCAGCCACACUGGGACUGAGACACGGCCCAGACUCCUACGGGAGGCAGCAGUGGGGAAUAUUGGACAAUGGGGGCAACCCUGAUCCAGCCAUGCCGCGUGAGUGAAGAAGGCCCUAGGGUUGUAAAGCUCUUUCGCACGCGACGAUGAUGACGGUAGCGUGAGAAGAAGCCCCGGCUAACUUCGUG
rnacentral:rRNA from 1 species